rnacentral:rRNA from 1 species
AUUGAACGCUGGCGGCAGGCCUAACACAUGCAAGUCGAGCGGAGCGGCGGACGGGUGAGUAAUGCCUAGGAAUCUGGCUGGUAGUGGGCGAUAACGUCCGGAAACGGGCGCUAAUACCGUAUACUAUCAGAUGAGCCUAGGUCGGAUUAGCUAGUUGGUGGGGUAAAGGCCUACCAAGGCGACGAUCCGGAACUGGUCUGAGAGGAUGAUCAGUAAAACGGGAACUGAGACACGGUCCAGAAUCGGACGCGAGGCAGGAGUGGGGAAUUUUGGACAAUGGGCGAAAGCCUGAUCCAGCCAUGCCGCGUGUGUGAAGAAGGGCUUCGGAUUUUAAAGCACUUUAAGUUGGGAGGCGGUACCAAGAGAAGAAGCACCGGCUAACUUCGUGCCAGCAGCCGCGGUAAUUC